GCGGCCGCAUUGACGAUGCCUUCCCCCGCCGCCGAGACCCCGUCGGCAGCUGGAGCCUCCGCGCCGAGCGCAGCGCAUCCAAUCUGGAGCCGCCGCCGGAGAAGGAGGAGGAGGAGGAGGCGCCUGGCGACGAGGAAGCUUGGCGGAGCUGCCCGGGAUGUAUUUCAACCCAAAGGAAGGAAGGAUCCCGAGCGUCAAUUUUGUAAUAAACAUUACACGUGGAAUACAAUAUUGGCUUCGUUUUAAACCUGGUCCCCACCCCCUAUCAUAUAGGAAAGAAGAGAGACCCUGGGAAGACAGAAAUACAUUUGAGAUCUAAGGACUUCACCCCAGCUCCACAAAUGGAACUAAACGCAACAGAGCAACUGGAUUCCAUAUAACACUGGUAUUUACUAUUAACUGGCUGCUUUAAUUUUUUGGGGGCGGGGAGGGGGACAUUUCGCCUUUCUUUUUAUUCCCCUCCCGGCACUUCUGUCGUAAAUGAUGGCUCAUCCUGGGAUAAGAGAUUACAGUAACCGAGAGAUAGUGCUAAGAUACAUCCAUUACAAGCUGUUGCAGAAAGGAUAUAACUGGGCUUCCAGUGGAGACAGAGAAAAUGCUUCUUCUGCUGUCGGGACCUUCCCUGCCCUCGGAGGGCUGGUGUCUCUGCCUUCUGCUGCUGUUGGCAACUUGGCUGCCACCGAAGAACACCCUGUACCCCAAGUUGUUUAUUCCACGCUAUGCCAAGCUGGCGACGAGUUUUCCCGAAGGUAUCAGAGGGAUUUCACCCAGAUGUCUGGUCAACUCCACCUGACUCCGGUCACUGCCAGAAGUCAUUUCAUGGCUGUCGUGGAAGAGCUGUUCCGGGACGGAGUGAAUUGGGGAAGGAUUGUGGCAUUCUUUGAAUUUGGUGGCAUGCUGUGCGUGGAGAGUGCCAGCCGGGAGAUGUCACCUCUAGUGGACAGCAUCGCCGAAUGGAUGACCGAGUACAUGAACGGGCAUCUUCACAAUUGGAUCCAGGACAAUGGAGGCUGGGACGCCUUUGUGGAGCUGUACAGCAACAACAUCAGGCCUUUGUUAGAUUUGUCGUGGCUGCCUCUGAAGACGAUCCUUAGUCUGGCCGUGGUGGGCGCCUGCAUCACCCUGGGGGCUUACCUGGGACAUAAGUGACUUUUGACUUCAUCCAGCUGGUGAUGGGCUGAUGGGAAACCUUCAUUUCCGGAACUGAAAAAAGAGGAGUGUUGAAAGAAGAAAAUAAUAUGAGAUGUCUUCUAAAAGAAAAGAAGAUAAAGAAAUGCCCCACCAAUGCCUCCAUCUGGUAUGACUCCAUAGACAUUCAACCCUUUGAGGUGCCAAGUGUUUUUUUGCAUGGAAAUCUGGAAAGGAAAGAGAAUGGAGAAUAUGUUACAAUAACUUUAAGCAAAAAUGAAUAUGAGACCCUCCGCGCCUACCGUUGGGUUCUUUGAUUAUAAAUAUCUAGGUGGCUUAUAGGCAGAGCUGCUGGCACCUUAACAUCAUCAGGCAUCAACCCAGGAUUACCUUGGUGUCUCAACCCAACCGCCUGAGCACCUGUCACUUGAUUACUGUUCCUGUGAAUUCAUCUACUAUCCA